rnacentral:pre_miRNA from 8 species
UUAAAUACAACUUCAAAGUGGCAGACUGGAAAAUCUCUGCAGGCAAAUGUGAUGUCACUGAAGAAAUCACACACUUACCCGUAGAGAUUCUACAGUCUGACAUCUUCAAGCAUCGAAUCAUU